rnacentral:rRNA from 1 species
UACGUAGGGGGCGAGCGUUGUCCGGAUUCAUUGGGCGUAAAGCGCUUUAAGGCGGUUCGCUAAGUCGCGUGUGAAACCUCCAGGCUCAACCUGGAGACGCCACGCGAUACUGGCGUGACUAGAGUUCGGUAGGGGAUCACGGAAUUCCUGGUGUAGCGGUGAAAUGCGCAGAUAUCAGGAGGAACACCAGUGGCGAAGGCGGUGAUCUGGGCCGAUACUGACGCUGUAGGGCGAAAGCGUGGGGAGCGAACAGG